UGCCUUUGUGUUGCCCAUUCAUUGCCUUCUAAAAUGAAUGUGGUGUCAAAAAAGGCAGACAGGAAUUCUUGCUCAGGCUGUGUAAGGGGUUGGCUGAUUGCCUUUCUCCUCCCUGUCUUUGCAAGGACAGAA
ensembl:snoRNA